ensembl:lncRNA
CUCUGACCGAGGCAGUUUGACUGGUUAAUAGGAAUGGAACCUCUGACCGAGGCAGUUUGACUGGUUAACAUGGAUGGAACCUCUGACCGAGGCAGUUUGUCUGGUUAACAUCAUUAUAAUUCUAUGGUAAGAACCUGCUUUGACCCGGAGCUCCUGUCUCCUAGGUGAUCAACGAGGGGGAGGAGCCGGAGAACUUCUUCUGGGUGGGGAUUGGCUGUCAGAAGGUAUACGACGAGGACGCUGACUAUAUGAAGUACGCCAGACUGUUCCGCUGCUCCAAUGAGAAGGGAUACUUCGCCGUGUCUGAGAAAUGUUCUGACUUCUGUCAGGACGACCUGGCUGACGAUGACAUCAUGCUACUGGACAACGGCAAAGAGGUGUACAUGUGGGUGGGAACUCAGACCAGCCAGGUAGAAAUUAAACUCAGCCUCAAAGCCUGCCAGGUCUACAUCCAGCACAUGCGUUCUAAGGAGACGGAGACCCCCAGGAAGCUGCGUCUGGUCAGGAAGGGAAACGAGCCACACUGCUUCACACGAUGCUUCCACGGCUGGGGUGCCUUCAAGACUGCGCUCGCGUAGACACGUCCACUCUACAUGGCCACGGUCUUUAGGACAUCGCUGUGUCUAUGUUGGCUUUAUCAUAUCAGCGUUUUACCUGCUUGAUACCCCUUCCCCUCCCUUUACCCUUCCUGUCCCCCCCCCAGUUACCCUUCCUGUCCCCCUCCCUUUACCCUUCUUGCCCCCCCGUUACCCUUCCCUUCCUUUCCCCCCCUCCCUUUACCCUUCCUGUCCCCCCCCCCCCCUCACCCUUCCCCUCCCUUUACCCUUCCUGUUCCCCCUCCCUUUACCCUUCCUGUUCCCCCCCUCCCUUUACCCUUCCUGUUCCCCCUCCCUUUACCCUUCCUGUUCCCCCUCCCUUUACCCUUCCUGUCCCCCUCCCUUUACCCUUCCUGUCCCCUUCCCCUUCCCCUCCCUUUACCCUUCCUGUCCCCCCGUCACCCUUCCCCUUCCUGUCCCCCCCCGUCACCCUUCCCCUCCCUUUACCCUUCCCCUCCCUGUCCCCCCCCGUCCCCCGUACCCUUCCUGCCUCCCCUCACCUCCCCGUUCCCCUCUCCCCUCCCUCACUUCUGUUCCCCUCUCCUCCCUCCUCUCAGGAUAUCCGUGGCAACGACGUGGCCGUUCUAACAUCCCAGACACAGAGAGAGGAAUCUGUAUUUCUGUUUUGCGUAUCAGUGAUUGGUCCGGGCCUUGCCGUAGAUUUUUGUAAUACCAGAUAUAGAUGUAUAUUUACUGUACUGCAGCAGCUCAACGUGCGCACGCCUGGCUGUAAUUGUGCACGCUGUCACUUGCACACACUAUUUAUGGAUUUUAUAUGAGAAUAAAGUUUCACUGAAUCUGC